rnacentral:rRNA from 1 species
UACGGGGGGAGCAAGCGUUGUUCGGAUUUACUGGGCGUAAAGGGCGCGUAGGCGGUCAGCACAAGUCAGUUGUGAAAUCUCCGGGCUCAACCUGGGAAUUGCAUUCGAGACUGAAUAGCUAGGGUACGGUAGAGGGAAGCGGAAUUUCCGGUGUAGCGGUGAAAUGCGUAGAUAUCGGAAGGAACAUCAGUGGCGAAAGCGGCUUCCUGGACCAGUACCGACGUUCAGGCACGAAAGCGUGGGGAGCAAACAGG